rnacentral:rRNA from 1 species
GAUGAACGCUGGCGGCGUGCUUAACACAUGCAAGUCGAACGGAAAGGCCCAAGCUUGCUUGGGUACUCGAGUGGCGAACGGGUGAGUAACACGUGGGUGAUCUGCCCUGCACUUCGGGAUAAGCCUGGGAAACUGGGGCUAAUACCGGAUAGGACGAUGGUUUGGAUGCCAUUGUGGAAAGUUUUUUCGGUGUGGGAUGAGCUCGCGGCCUAUCAGCUUGUUGGUGGGGUAAUGGCCUACCAAGGCGUCGAGGGGUAGCCGGCCUGAGAGGGUGUACGGCCACAUUGGGACUGAGAUACGGCCCAGGCUCCGACGGGAGGGAGCAGUGGGGAAGAUUGCACAAUGGGCGCAAGCCUGAUGCAGCGACGCCGCGUGGGGGAUGACGGCCUUCGGGUUGUAGACUCCUUUCGCUAGGGACGAAGCGUUUUUGUGACGGUACCUGGAGAAGAAGCACCGGCUAACUACGUG